GCGGCACAAUGGGUCAGCGCACCUGGCUGUUAACCAGAAGGUUGGUGGUUUGAGCCCUCCCAGAGAUG